CCGCCCUUAGCUCAGCUGGAUAGAGUAGCGGACUUCGAAUCCGGGGGUCACAUGUUCAAAUCAUGUAGGGCGGGCCA
rnacentral:tRNA from 1 species